rnacentral:piRNA from 1 species
UAGUACCCGAACCAGUCUCAAGGUGUUCU